rnacentral:rRNA from 1 species
CACCGCGGUUAUACGAGAGGCCCAAGUUGAGGAACAACGGCGUAAAGAGUGGUUAAAAUAAAUCUCAAACUAAGGUUGAAUAUUUUCAGGGCUGUUAUACGCAACCGAAAACAAGAAACCCAACUACGAAAGUGACCUUACCACAAAUGAACCCACGAAAGCUAGGACA